GAGGCUGUAGCUCAAUGGUAGAGCGUGUGCUUAGCAUGCACGAGGUCCUGGGUUCAAUCCCCAACACCUCCA
rnacentral:tRNA from 1 species